GGCUAGCCGUAAACUGUUAGUUCAGCGCACUAUCCAGGGAACAACCAAUAAAGCUAAAAACCCAACGGAAUUGACGGUACCCCAUAUCCCCCUAGAGGAGCCUGUCCUAUAAUCGAUAAUCCACGUUUAACCUCACCAUUUUUAGUUAAUCAGCCUGUAUACCUCCGUCGUCAGCUUACCACGUGAGCGUCAAUUAGUGAGCCUAAUGUUAUUUCACCAAUACGUCAGGUCAAGGUGCAGCAAAUGAAAUGGGAAGAGAUGGGCUACACUUUCUAUUUUAGAAGAUACGAAAAACUACCUAUGAAAACUAGUUAGAAGGCGGAUUUAGUAGUAAAAAGGAAUCAGCAUGUCCAUUUUAACCUGGCACUGGGGUGUGUACACACCGCCCGUCA
rnacentral:rRNA from 1 species